GUGUGUGUGUGUGUGUGUGUGUGUGUGUUGUUGUUGUGUCGUCUGAACAUCACUUCAAAUGUUCAACAAAGACAGCAGCUGCUCUCCAACAAACAUUGUUUGAGCACAAAGAGCCCAGUGGUCAAAAACGCAAAGAAAAUACACAUUUUGUCUAUUGUCCCUCCCACAAAGAAAACUUUUUUUUUCUUUUCCCUUGAAUGUGAAGCGAUUGAGCAGCGUAUGAACUAUGUGAAAUAUCGAUUGUCAUGAUGUGACCAAAAACCAAACAAAAAACGUAUUUAAACUGACAAAGAAUGCAACAUUUUUAGGUGGCAUUCUCCAUUUCUGCGAAGGAAUCCGUCAUUGUAUGACGUUAUUGUUAUCCCGUUGGCAAUCUGAAGUACCUCAUGUAUUUCCAUUUAAAAUGAUAUAGACGUGUGCGUGCGCGUGCGACCAAGACGACAUAUCUCGCGAAGCAUCACACAUUGCUCCUUAUUGUUUUAUAUCGAUGAUGAAGUGGUAGCAAACGGUGGUGAACCUUCGCCAAAUUUUGACACGCUUUCUUCUCCUGUAGCAGUGUCAAACGUGGCUGACGCACAGUCGAGGCCUCCGUGUGUGCGUGUCCGUGUGGAUAUUGCGCGCGUGGAUUUGGUCCCCCGACUGCGUUGCAGGUAUAGCUGGACACAUCAUUAGGACGGCAGGUCAGAAUAAGGGAGCUCAUUAACAGCGCUCGGCAAAGCUCUUGUUUUUGAUCCGCUGCCACGGGGGUUCAGAGUGGACUUUAUUUUUACUGUCACUGGGUGGGAAGGCCACAGAGUGAUUUUUACCUGCAUGCCCGUAUGUCGACGCCGCACUCGGUCCGGUACAAGCAGACUGUGGUCAGGGCGAAGAGGAAGGGGGGGUGCGUUUGUUAUCUGUAUUUUUAUUUUUUUUGGUUUGUUUUGAUUAGAACAGCACUCGCCAAAGCGAAUCGGAAGCAGGAAACGGAUGAACGGAAAUUGCCAAAAAUGAGCUACGAAAUCCAAUUCAAAAGCUUUUCUGUUGUUCUUAUACAAAACCGCUCAUCCUUCCGCAACCCGCCAUCGUUGGCGUACUUUUGACAUGAAUGUAGUAGUAUAUCAAGAGAAAAAGUUGACACAAAUCCACAGCGCGGUUCCAGAAAUGCGAAACAAAUUCACGCAGUCCUUUUUCAAAACAAAUGAACAUAAAUGGCAAAGCCUGUUCGUGUCAUUUAUGAAUCCAUACGAGCGCAACUUCUGUGUUUGUGUGCGGGUGUGUGUUGCCUUUCGACCGGUGUUUGACGAGACGACGUGAGGCGUCAACACACAAAAAGACCUUUGUUUACUGAAAAGCUAUCCAAAUACACGAUCGUGUGCUCGUCGUAUCUUUGAAACAAAUGUGCACUAUGUUUGCAUGUACGAUUUUACAAAGGAUGCGCCCGUUCCUUCGGGUUCACUACAACGGUGUCUUUGGAAGUAUAUGAUAUGAAAAGUAAUUGUACAAACAUGGCCUUAACUGACUUUUUUUUUUCUGGAAAUUGUGCGAUGCCUUCUCUGGAGAAAUGAUUUUGUGUCCGUGGACUAUUGCGUUCUGAUGUGAUUUCUUUGGACUUAUUUUUUUAUUAUUGGAGGGGUGGAUGUCUUUUAUUAUGAUUAUUAUUUUUAUUUUUUUCAUUAACAGUGAUUCAUAAUCAGAGAAAGCAUGGCUGAACACUGAUUGUCUUAUUACAUAUGAUAGAUGACUAUUUCUGUAUUGAACUAUGGAUUUUUAAAUAAAUAUUCAUAUGAAAAACUGUGACUGAGGUCGACGCCUGCUUCAAGACUCAAAUUAGAGGGAAGGCAAACGCACCCCCUGCCCCCCCGUGAGACCAAAAGUACCAAAAUACUCUGCGUUUCUCCGUCGGAGGUGGAUUGGGCUCACAAUAACUCAGCGGGUAACACUAGAGUUGUUGGAGAAGCACCAGAUGGCAUGCAGGUGGCGCUAGUUGCCUACGGCGUCCAAAGAAGAAGCAACACUUGUACUAAGGGUCGCAUGGGGGUGCUGGAGCCGAUCCCAGCUGAUGUUCGGACGACCAUCCACACCGUCGCUAAGCGGGAUCCCGCACGCAAGUCAGGCAAGUGUACUACUACACUAUCAAUGACGAAUAUAUCAUAUAAUUUUAUUUGUAUAGGGCAUUUCACACCAGCUGCAAUAGAUCGCUUUACAUAUGACAUAAAAAAUUAUUACCACAACAAAGGAAAGUCAACACAUUUUGCAUUGACCGUACUUGUUCACUUACCGAUCCUUGCACAACAGCACCGCCUUGUGGCUCAUUGUGGUACUCAUUUACCAGAAGCGUUGCAUAGUGUUUCAUUUAUGAAAUACUACUAUAGAUGAAAUGUAAUCAAACAU